AUUGAACGCUGGCGGCAUGCUUUACACAUGCAAGUCGAACGGUAACAGGUUAAGCUGACGAGUGGCGAACGGGUGAGUAAUGCAUCGGAACGUGCCCGAUCGUGGGGGAUAACGCAGCGAAAGCUGCGCUAAUACCGCAUACGAUCUGAGGAUGAAAGCGGGGGACCGUAAGGCCUCGCGCGAUCGGAGCGGCCGAUGUCAGAUUAGGUAGUUGGUGGGGUAAAGGCUCACCAAGCCAACGAUCUGUAGCUGGUCUGAGAGGACGAGCAGCCACUCUGGGACUGAGACACGGCCCAGACUCCUACGGGAGGCAGCAGUGGGGAAUUUUGGACAAUGGGAGAAAGCCUGAUCCAGCAAUGCCGCGUGCAGGAAGAAGGCCUUCGGGUUGUAAACUGCUUUUGUACGGAGCGAAAAGGUCUCCUCUAAUACAGGGGGCUCAUGACGGUACCGUAAGAAUAAGCACCGGCUAACUACGUGCCAGCAGCCGCGGUAA
rnacentral:rRNA from 1 species